rnacentral:misc_RNA from 1 species
CAAUGUCUUUACCUUAUCCAUCAUAUCUGCCAUGAACUUUUGUCCUCCAAAUCCAGGUUCCACAGUCAAGACAAGGACCAUUUCCACAGGAUUUUCAAACUCAACCAAAGGAUAAACUUCUUCGAUAGGAGUUCCAGGAUUUAAAGCUACACCAGGCCUCAUGCCUUUUGACUUGAUUCUCUGGAUUAGUUCUCUCCAGUUUUCUCUGGAUGCUUCAACGUGAAAUGUAAAUCCAGA